rnacentral:lncRNA from 1 species
AUUUAUAACUGUUGAUAGGACAGUUUAAGACCACUUAAUCCAAUAUUUAACUGGGUUAAACCUAUAUUUACAUAUUUUAAAAACUAAUUAGGUUGAAAAUUCAAUAAUUCAUCAUAAAAAAUGCUAAUAGUUUUAUUUUUCCCCAUUUUGUUCUUUUACAUAGUAAUAUCUCUUCCCAAAGGUCACAUUUCUGUCCUACUAAAGAAAAUUUGCAUACUAACCUAUUUAUCCCUUUUCUAACUAUUUAUGAAUAGCUGUUAUGCAAAAUCUGAAUAAAUAAUAUAAAACUGACCCUCUUUCCAAUCAUUAUAAGUGCUAAAAAUUUGAUAUAAAUAUGUAAUGAUCAUUUUUUAAUGAUCUUUAUUAAUGAUUAAUUAAUCAUGUAUUAGAAUAAUCUCCUAAUUAAAAUUACUGCCACAUUAUUCCACUAUGUAUCUUUUAAGUAGACUGCACAAAAGACCAUGCAAUAUAUGUAAUGCACCUGAAGGGUCAUUGUUUAUGUCUGAGCUUUUGUUCAACUUUUAAUGCCAUUUCAUUGUCUUUACAAUCAUCAGAAGUCAGCUAACAAAAGAUGUGGACGGAGUAUUUCCUCUUAAUCUGCCAUAUGUGUAUAAAUUUAUUUACCUAAAAUUCCCUAAAUUCCAAAAGCAAUUGUGGUUUGGGGAGGUAGUGUUAGGAGUCAGAGGACAGGCACAUUUGGGAGGAUCACUGCAGGUCCUGCUUGCCCCCACCAGACUGCUGGCCUGCUGACCACAGGCCUGGCACAGCAUCUGUUUCCUCCCCACUCUCUGUCCCAGUCAGGCAAGUUGCCUUAUUUGGUAGAAAGUUCUUGUUCAUAGAGAUACUUGAUGCUGAGUUUAUAGAUUGAGACCUUCUAAGUCUUAAAACCCCCUAAAUACAGUAUCUCCUCUUUGGGAAAUAGGUCAUGAAUUGAUACAUCUUUCUUUACUCUCUAGGAGAAGAUUCUGAAGAUGUACCAACUUCAAAGAAAGCUAAAGAAGAAGCUGAAGAGGUAUCUUCCACAAAGAAGCAGAAAACCCCCAUCAGCUUCUUCCAGUGUGUCUACUUGGAUGGAUACAAUGGCUAUGGAUUUCAGUUUCCUGUCACUCCUGUGCACCACCCCGGAGAGAGCUCUGGCCAACCAAAUUCUCCAGGACAGAAGCAUCAACGACAAUAAGACACAUAUGCACAGCCCUUGCAAAUCGCUUUAGAACUUUGAAAAUAGGAUCUUUUGUUUGUCUACAGUGACACAGGCAAUUGAAAUCAUGUAGUCCAGGGGAUUUCUUUGAAAAUAUUUUACUCUUCUGCCUGGUGUAGAAAGGGUGAGCAAAGGGACUGAAUGAUAAGAAGACAAGUUGGAGGGUCUGGCGCUCAAGAAUCUGUCGUUUGUUUGCUGCUGGGUGUGGGUGCUUGUAUUUUUCUAUUUCCAGUCACUUUAAGGUUGUUCACAAACUAAUUUAACUUUUGCUUAAAAAUGAUCUUUUAAACAUGAUUGACACAAUUACAAAAUGAAAUUUCUGGCUUCAGUUAGAUAUUGACUUUUAAGUGAAAACACAGACUAUGCUUUAAGUUUAAAGGCUUUAGUAGCUUAUACAAAAGCUGCUCUUUUGCAUCAUGUAGGUAUCUAAACUCAGUUUACCCAAUAUGUUGAUAUUCAAUAGUUUAAUUUUAUUUCUGUAUAUAUAUAUCUAUUUUACUUGUGACUCUUCUCCAAAAAUGGGUAACAGUUUCACCAAAGAAUGCUUUAAGUUCCUUGUAAUGCUCUUUUAGAGCUCAAAAUACCUCUGAACUUUAGACAUGAUAAGAUUGAGCGGAAAGGCUUGAUGAAUCUUAUCCCUAAGAUUUGUCUUGAAUUACAAUUAGGAAAUUCACUCCAGUGGAAAUACGCCAUCCAAUUAGGCAAGUCUGGUGAAUCAUUUGUUUAAAUAUAAGCAAAUGAGAUGUAGACUAGCCAGAUUUCUCCAGACUGUGCCCUAGUAAAAUGUCACCUGGGUGAAAUUUUAGAUCAGUCACCAAAUUUGGGCGACAGAUGCAAGAGGAUUUUCAUUUCACUUUAAUAGGAUCAUUCUAUGGAGUUAAAUAGGUUUUAUUGCUCAAAACAAAAAAAUAUAUAAAUGUCAUCAAAGUGGAAGGAACACAUUUUAACCAUUAAGUUUGCCAUGAGAUAUCUUACUUGUUUUUUAGGUAAUUAGUUACCAGUGCUAAUGAAAUGAAUAACAAUCUUUAACUUAUUUGAUGAUGCAUCACUGGGGAAAACAGCUAUACUUUUGCCAUCCUUUGUCUCUCAGUGAUAUAAACACUUUUGUUUUUUAACUACAUUCUUCUAUCAACAAUAAAAGUCAUGCCAGGGAAUUCCUGGCA